rnacentral:rRNA from 1 species
UACGUAGGGUGCAAGCGUUAAUCGGAAUUACUGGGCGUAAAGCGUGCGCAGGCGGCUUUGCAAGCCAGAUGUGAAAUCCCCGGGCUUAACCUGGGAACUGCAUUUGUGACUGCAAGGCUAGAGUACGGUAGAGGGGGAUGGAAUUCCGCGUGUAGCAGUGAAAUGCGUAGAUAUGCGGAGGAACACCGAUGGCGAAGGCAAUCCCCUGGACCUGUACUGACGCUCAUGCACGAAAGCGUGGGGAGCAAACAGG